GAUGAACGCUGGCGGCGUGCCUAACACAUGCAAGUCGAACGGACAUUUUUUGGAAAGCUCUUCGGAACUGGAAUCUAAAUGUUAGUGGCGGACGGGUGAGUAACGCGUGAGCAAUCCGCCUUUCAGAGGGGGAUAACAGCCGGAAACGGCUGCUAAUACCGCAUAAUGCAUCGGAUUCGCAUGUUUUUGAUGCCAAAGAUUUUAUCGCUGAAAGAUGGGCUUGCGUCUGAUUAGAUAGUUGGUAAGGUAACGGCUUACCAAGUCGACGAUCAGUAGCCGGACUGAGAGGUUGAACGGCCACAUUGGGACUGAGACACGGCCCAG
rnacentral:rRNA from 1 species